ACCUAAAAGUAUUUCUUGUUUUUUAGCGAAAAUGAACUUGAAUUUGGAAUCGAGGAGGGAUGUAAACGACGUCGUUACAGGUAGUGGAUGAAAGUUCAAGCGCUGCCGUCGACGGUGAAGAUGAAGAAGACGAUGACAACCCGAUAGCCUGAAGAAGAAAUCCCAAUUUGCCCAGAAAUUCGUUUGUUUGUCGACUGGAACCAAGAAAAGGAAAGAUGGAAAACGAAAAAUGCUACCCAGGGAAAUCUUGAGGAAAUCCACACCCACUGCCAUCACGAUGACGACUCCGGCUUGACGGUUCAAGAUCUAGUGGGCAUUGCUCGCCAGAAAAUGAAGCGCAAAGACAACGUGAACUUCUCUUAUAACGAUUUGAAGUGUCUUUGGUUCCUCUUUAUAAUGAGCAGCGAUCAUCCAGUUGUGUAACCACUGCUUCUUGUGCUUCAACAGUGAAUUUGACGAGUGAACAAAGCUUCAUCAAUAUCGGCCGUACAAGGGGAUCCUGCUCGGGACAUGCUUGACCUGUUCUUGGUUCCGUUCUCAAGAAACUGCCGCUCGAGGAGGGAAAGAAAAGUGGUUUCUCGUUAAGGAUGUGAAUUUGGUCUAUGAGUUGAUAAGGCGAAGUCUCAAUGAUUUGGAGAAGAAAUAGUUCCCCUGAUGAUGAAGAAGAAGAGCAGUCUCAAAGGCAAGGUCUUGAAGCCAGAUUUCAAAGCUCAUGUAAAUGGUACAAACAACGGAAAUCACCAAGGUGAGGAAGUUCUCAGCUGUUGUGCUACACAAGGAAUCUGUUGAAAAUUGGCCAUUGUUCUGGAGAUGCCAUCUUCAAAACCAUUCCUAGUUUCACCCCAGUAAUUUCUUCAAAAUGUGCAACAGUUUGACUCCUACUCUUUCACUGGAGCAAGUUUUAAUUGUUUCUGGUGCUGUGCUAGCAGCUGAGAGUGAAGAAGUGUCAAAAUGCCUGCUUGUCCAUCCAGGUAAUGCUGUAUAACUGAGACACGGCAGGCUCUACAGACUUCAUAAAUAGUUAGAGUUGCAAGUUUGGAUGCUUUUGAAAUACAUGACUGUGGAAAGUUAUCAAUAUUUAAUCUUUGCACUAAGGUAUAUAUUCCUAGACUGGCAGGAAGAAUUCAAACAGUUUAAAGUCAUUGAGAGGAAGCAGUUGCUUAUUUUGAUUGCUAAGCAUGCAUCGCCUAGCAGUUCUAUUAUAUUCGGGACAAGAGAAACCUCAUAAUAAUGAGAACCAAUAAUCAGAUAUGUCUUGAACCAGGUUAAGGAAUGUGUGAGAAAUGAAGCUUGGUGUGCGUUCAAGACAAGUACUCGACAACAGAAAGAAUCUUUUUUUUUCAGAUGAUAAGUUGUCCAUGUCUGCAAUGAAGCUCUUGUGGGUUUGGCAGGAUGGUUUUGUAAUUAGAAUUCUCCAAUCACUCUUAAUUUCUUUUUUUUAUAUAGCUUAAUUUCUUUUGUUGUUAUUAUUAUUUAAUUGUUGAUUCUCAAAUAGUGGAUGUUCUUUGGAGAACAUGUUACUUUUCAUUUUCUUAAUUUGGUACACAUGAUGCCUUGAAACUGCAUGUGAUAUCAGCAACCAUAAAACAUUAUUGGGUCUGUUAGUAAACGCAAUUCUUCGAGCAAGUAAUUUAUUUAGGGUAAUCACAUUAUUUUAUUGGCAAGCCCCUGUUCUCUCUCUCUGUGAAAGAAUAAGGCUUUGAGCAUCCAAACUACUUAAUAUUUUAUUGCCUUAUUAUUUUAGUCUGUAAAGGUACCAAUAUUAUUUUCUGUAUGUCUCCUUCUGGAACAGUAUCAUGUAAGAGAACCUGCACACUUUUUGUUUAAGAUAUGUGGAAUUAACCUAUUAUUUUAUUCAAACAAAUGGAGAACCAGAACAGAUGGUUUUAUGUCUACUACCACUAUAAGACAAGAUCUAAAUACAACAUAUAAUCAUGCAGGGUAUAUCUAUUAAACCUAGUAGUUCUUUUUCUUUUUUUUUUCUUCCCUUAUUGAAUCAAUGUAUACAUAUUCCUCUUCGAUGACUUCUAGUAGAAUAAAAUUCUUCUAAUUUUGAUUUGAAUCAAUAGUAUAAUGACCUUGUAUUCUCAUGUGUUUUCCCCCUGCAUAGCUGAACUAUGCAUGGUCAAAACUUAUGCCUUAGAUCUAAUUUCUUUUCUUUGGUUUAUUUUCACAUUCAGCUGUGGAGCAUGUGCUGGGACUAUUAGUGUUAUCUAUGCUUAGCAGACAUGCCCAACCUUUCUGUGGUUAGUUUCUGAUCUGAUGUGUAUUUUGAAGUAGAAAUCUUGGAAGGCCUAUUUUAUGGCCAGUUCUCAUGACAUCCUCUUGCACUUGUCUUCUGUACUCUCCAAAUGUGAAGUUUCUAUAUAUUGAAGGCUCUUUGCAACUCCCUAUCAAGAAGUCAUAAGAAGGGCAUAGAAAGUAUGCCAAUGAGCAUCUCUCCUUAUUUCUGUUGGCCAUCACCUUGUGCUCCACACUCUUGUAAAUAUCAUUGCUCCAUGCCUGUCAUCCACAUUAAAUCAAGAGCCUCAUUGCAGUGUAUAUGUGUGCAUUCAUGCCCUUGCAUAUAAAUCUUAAUAACUCUUCCUCUGAAGCAAAGAUUCUUUGAGCAUGCUUUUAUUAGCGAUUGAAAUGCAAGUUAAUUUUAUACCUGGAAAAGAUCUCCAAUAUUAACGAUAAGGGCUUCUUGAUUAGGUGUUACAGCUACCCAUUUGGAAUCCUUCAUGAGUUGAAGUCCACCAACUUCAUCUUGAUAAAGAAUUGUAAGAAAAUCAGAGUCAGUGUGGGGCACUAGGCCAAAGAUCUCCGGAGAUACUGGACAUGGUGGGUAUCGAUUCAACCGGAGAAAGCAAUUGCUUUCAUGACAAAUGUCCUCAAACCCUCUCACUGGGUGACCCAAGUUUUCUACCAGGACCCCUGCAAGCAACUUGGCUAGCCUUGACAUUGCCUCUGCAACUUCCAUCAUCACUUCCCUGUUGAUUUACUACAUUUUAGUACAAACAAAUUGUGAAGGAAAUUGCAUUGGUAGAGAAAAGCUGGUACCUUAAAGAGGUAAAUUCCCCAUAGCAAGAUUCUUCUGAAAUUUUGGUGAGAGGAAUGUGGAAAGCCUCAGACCAGGAGAACUGCUUCGGACAGGUAGCCUUUUCGGAUCCCCAUCUAUAUGAAUUGUUCAGAAGUCCACAAGUAGCCUUCUUAUGGAAGGGUGCUUGAAACAACUUCACUUGCUCUCUUCUCAUAUUCCGGAGUAGCUCAGGGCUUAUACCAUGGUUCACUACCUGGAAGAAUCCCCACUCUGAUGAGGCUCUGCAAAUAGCUGUAGCACAAGCUACCCUCUCCAUUUCAUUGCCACUGUCGAGACCAUUGAGGUCUAUCAAUGGAAGUUGGCAUUCCUCCAUGAUUACUCCACUCUGGGGAUCAUUGUAUUCCUCUGCAGCAGGAAAUUUAGCAGAAAGUGCUCCAUAAGAGGGCAAGAGAGGUGGGUUUGAGUCGAUCAUUGUUGAUUAAUGAGUGAGCUUUGCAGGUUCUAGUUACAUAGUCAUAUAUAUAUGCAUAUAUAUAAUAUAUAUAUAUAUAUAUAGAGAGAGAGAGAGAGUAGGUGAUUUUGGAGUGAGUGAGAGAGAGAGUCUGAUUCCUAAGAGCACAAAGAGAAAAGAACAAGAGGGACAGCUCCCAAAUGGCGACAGUUGUCAGAAGGAGAGCAUUUGUCUGGAAUUGUCUUGAGAGAGAGACCAGGUCUAACACUUAACACGGAUUGCACUAAAUUAUUGAUCAACUAAAAUGCAUAAUAACCAGGACAUCAAAAGGGAUGGAAUCCAACCUAACUUCCCUUUUUGACUUUUUUUCUUUUUUCACGGCAUGAGUUUGAGAAGCUUUGAUCAAUGAGUAGGUUUCCCUGGCAUUGCCUUUUGCUUUCCAAGUGUGAAUGUAGAUUUUACUUUGGACUUUGAGCAUCAACUCUUAAAAAUCUCUCUUUACCCUGAGUUUUUUCCUUUAUUUAUUUUUUUUUUUUGUGUGUGUUUUAUCAUAUUCAUGUUUAUGUUGUAACUUAACGUGGUUUGGGAUUGCCAUUUGUCUC